GACGAACGCUGGCGGCGUGCCUCAUACAUGCAAGUAGAACGAGUUGCUAACGGGUGAGUAACGCGUGGUAACCUGCCUCAUAGCGGGGGAUAACUACUGGAAACGGUAGCUAAUACCGCAUACCAUCGGAUGUUCCCAGAUGGGAUUAGCUAGUAGGUGGGGUACUGGCUAACCUAGGCGACGAUCCCUAGCUGGUCUGAGAGGAUGACCAGCCACACUGGAACUGAGACACGGUCCAGACUCCUACGGGAGGCAGCAGUGGGGAAUAUUGCACAAUGGGCGCAAGCCUGAUGCAGCCAUGCCGCGUGUAGGAAGAAGGCCUUCGGGUUGUAAAGUACUGUCAGCGAGGAGGCGUUACUCGCAGAAGAAGCACCGGCUAACUCCGUGCCAGCAGCCGCGGUAAUUC
rnacentral:rRNA from 1 species